GGGCUGGAGGCCAAGGCAGGGGGUACGUGGCAGUGACGGCGCCUUGUGGGUCACAUCUCCCUCACUCUACCCUGAGCCCAGGAAGGGCAUCCUCCCCCAGGUGCCUCCAGGAUACAACUCUCGGCUUCCAUGGUAGAAUAAGAAAGGUGGAGAAGAGGGAUUUCAGUUUCCUGGGGCGCUGUGUCUGUUAGCUGCCGGUAAAUACCUCUGAGAGACUCUGUUUCCAGCUAAAGAAGACCACCUGUCCUACAACUCUCAGGAUUAGGCACAGGAACUGUCUGGGUGGACCCUCUGGCAAAAUGAAUUGGACCAACUGUAAGUUCCAGAACUCCAGAGCCAGUAGCAAUGCUUUCCUGGAUGACCCCACACCACUGCCCUGCUCUGAGAAUUUCACUACCCUGAAGCCAGAGACUAAACCUGAUGAACUCAGCAGCUUAGGCACAGCAGCUACAGCCAUUUCUGGCUCUGUUGGUGUUGUGGCUCUCAUCUUGCUCCUGGUGGGUCUCUUGUCCAUGACCCUGAAGAAAUGGAGACAUGAGAGACUAUUUAAGAAACAAUUGAGGCACCAGACCAACUUUCUCCAUAGAACUUCGGAGCUUUCCUGCCAUGCUGAUGCCAUAUAUUCGAAUGUGAUCAACCUGGCUUCCUGGAAAGAGGAUGACUUCGCUGUCUAUGCCAACGUGCCCCCUUUCAAUCGCCCUAGGAAGACAUCACCAGACCGAGUGGAAUAUGCCUCCAUUGUAUUCCACUGAUGGGAAGCCAAUGAGAUGCUUCAGAUGGAGAGUCAGACCUAUGCCCCAGCUGGAUCCUGAGCUGGCUUGUGCUUUAGAUGGGUGGUGUGGGGGUGUGGGUGUGUCUAUUUAGAAAAAUGCAUAAAACAUAUUCUAAUGGUGGUAAAUGGCUGGAUAUUUCUUCUGAUUUAUUGGAAACAAAGCACAGUUCUAAUGGAAAGGAGUGGCAUAGAAGAGACAAGGACACGCUGAUCCAAGCCAUCCCAGCCCCAGAAGCAGGUUCCUGAGACAGACUGGCCAACAAAGAAGACUUUUUCCAGCUCUUGCCCCUCCUGAGGCUAGAGUUGAGGAGGAGGGCUCAUACUACUCAGGGCUCAGCUUCUGGGUUGUGUCUUUUUUGCUCUACUUUGUCAAGAAUUAAUACCGUGCUCAUGUCUGUGGAGAUGUGAAUGGCUGCCUAUCUUGUGUGUCUGCCCAAGAGAACUGUUGCCCAACAGAACUGCAAUUGUGAGGAGAGGAGGUGGGAGGGUCAGCAGAGACAUGAGAAGUGUUUCUUACUGAGGGCACAAGGCCUGAUGAACACCCACAGGCAUGGAGGGCCCCCCGGGAAAGGAGUGUGGAAGGAGCACCUGAUACAAGUGGGCUACAUGUCACCACUGGUCAGGGCCAUCUCUGUGGGAACUUUGGAGGAUGUCUGGAAUUACCAUGGAGUCUCUCCUUCUUUUCUUCACUUAAAAACAUGUAUUAAAUCUCACCAUGUUCUAGACUCUGGAAAUCUAGCUGUGACCCCAAGAUACAAAGCCUUGUCCUCAUGGAGCUUACCUUCUAGGAGGGAGAAAUAGUCAAUGAACAAAUGAACAUACACACAGACUAUCAGAUGUUGGCAUAUUAAUAAAGCGAGUCAUGGAAUGUAGGAAACA
rnacentral:lncRNA from 12 species